rnacentral:rRNA from 1 species
CCCUUAGAUGUUCUGGGCUGCACGCGCGCUACACUGAUGCACUCAACGAGUUUACGACCUUGCCCGAUAGGGUUGGGUAAUCUUUUUAAAAUGCAUCGUGAUGGGGAUAGAUUAUUGCAAUUAUUAGUCUUCAACGAGGAAUUCCUAGUAAGCGCGAGUCAUCAGCUCGUGCUGAUUACGUCCCUGCCCUUUGUACACACCGCCCGUCGCCCUUACCGAUUGAGUGCUCAGGUGAAUAAUUCGGACUGCAGCAAUGUUUGGAUCCCGAACGUUGCAGCGGAAAGUUUAGUGAACCUUAUCACUUAGAGGAAGGAGAAGUCGUAACA